GGUAGGCUGAGGCAGGGGACCAGUAUGAUGGUAGGCUGAGGCAGGGGACCAGUAUGAUGGUAGGCUGAGGCAGGGGACCAGUAUGAUGGUAGGAUGAGGCAGGGGACCAGUAUGAUGGUAGACUGAGGCAGGUGAUGCUGUAGACCCCCUGCAGGGCAGAACAGGUUAGUUCUAUAGAACCCCUUCCAGAAUGUUCAGGUAUUGUUUCAGUUUGGGGUUCUACAUUCUAUUUUUGGGUGUCCAUGGUGAUUAAUCCUAUUUCUACACCUCCCUACCUUCCUCAUUAUGGGCCGUCCCAAAUGGCACCC
ensembl:lncRNA